GAUGAACGCUGGCGGCGUGCCUAAUACAUGCAAGUCGAGCGAACAGACGAGGAGCUUGCUCCUCUGACGUUAGCGGCGGACGGGUGAGUAACACGUGGAUAACCUACCUAUAAGACUGGGAUAACUUCGGGAAACCGGAGCUAAUACCGGAUAAUAUAUUGAACCGCAUGGUUCAAUGGUGAAAGACGGUUUUGCUGUCACUUAUAGAUGGAUCCGCGCCGCAUUAGCUAGUUGGUAAGGUAACGGCUUACCAAGGCAACGAUGCGUAGCCGACCUGAGAGGGUGAUCGGCCACACUGGAACUGAGGCACGGUCCAAGGUCGUAGGGGAGGCAUCAGAAUGGAAUUUUGCGGACAGGGAGAGAGCCCAAAGGGACAAUGACGCUGGUGUAACGCAGGUGUUCGGAUCGUAAAACUCUCUUAUAAGGAAAGAACAAAUGUAUAAGUAUCUAUGCACGUCUUAUCGGUACGUAAUCAGAACGCAGCGACUAACUACGUG
rnacentral:rRNA from 1 species